AAUAAAGAAUGAUUUCAAACUCCAAGCCCCUGCCACCUUCUGCAAUUUCUUCGCACAGUUAAGUAAGCUACAAAAAAUAAACAAGUUGGUUGUUUUUGUGGGGAGAAAACCCAAACAAACCAGAACAUACCUAACGUUUCAUCACUAACGAUGCUGAGGCUGGUCAAUGGUCAUCUGAAUUGCCUUCCAAUUGAAUGAAUCUGAUAUAAGUUGCUGGGUGUGCAAUAACUGCAGAAUCAGCAUCUUGUUUUGAAAGGACUCCUGCAAAUCCUGCAGGAACAUUUCAGUACUAGAUGGUGUUGCUAUGGGCACCAGAAGGAAGCUUAAUAUAAGAGAAACUGUCUUAGGAAUUCAUGGGGGAUGGGUGUAAACAGAAUACAUACGUAGGAACCAGAAUGUCCCUGGCACUAAAAAGGAAAAGGCAUUUUGGGGUUUUUAAUGUUCUGCUAAUAACAUCUUAGGCUACGUGUUUCCAGAAGGAAAAGACAAGCCGGUACCUUUUUUCAAGUUGCCUAAAGUGAAAGAUCAGAAAAUAAGUGAUCAAGUUCUGUAAGGUAUAUCUGCACCCUGUGUAGCAAAAGCAUAAUGAAACCUGGAUGCUCCAGAGAGAUAUUUUUUCUGUAAAAACAGAUAUUAAAAAUAGGAAUGAAAAAUGAGGGAAAUAGAAGAACUGCAGUUCCCUUUAGUAUUCAGGAAAAAAAGGGUCUCACUUUGCCUUUGAGUAAGUUCAAAAUGUAGGUAAAAAUCAGAUUGGUAAGGGAGAGCUGGAUGACUUAAUUCAUGGCUAGAUUUCUCCCAUUCUGGCUGUCCCUCUGCCAGUAUAGACUACCUAAGUGGAGGAAAGGAAAGAAAAAGUAACCAGUGUAGAAUAACUGCAUAUUGUAUAUCUCAAGACUGACAAAGAGAAUGCAAAAUUAAAUUCUUGAUGUGAAAAGGAUGGGACAAUGAGCCUCUCUCCCCAAGAUACCUUCAGAGAGGAUUCCAUUUCAGUGCUUUCUUUCGUACUUGCUUGCAUUAUUUUUCAUUGACAUGUCCCAAAGAAAGCCUGAAAGCCUUUUAUUAUUUCUUAUUUUCUUUUUCUUUUUAGUAGGUGGUAUAAGUUCUUUUUUAUAUAUAUUAUUUUCCUGCCAAUGUUAAAGCAGUUCCCAUUUUUCUAGUUUGUUUCUGACACCUGGCUGUGAUCAACAAUGCUUCCCACUGAAUCACUUCUUUCAUCUAUUCAGCUUCUGUUAUUUCCCUUAUCUCCUCUCCCCCCUUCACCAGCUUACCUCUCAUUAACCCUCAGGGUUCCAAACAUAUUGUAUGUCUCCCAAAGAUACAUAUUUUUAUUCAGACACAAGUAAUUUUUGCUUGCUAGCCUCAGUUUCCAUAAUUCCCUAAUAGAAUAGCUGUGUGUAGUACAUACUCUUUACAGCAUGGUGAACAAUAAACCCAGACAUUAAUUUAUACUUGUGCAUUGUAUGCUCUUCCACUUCACCUUUUCCCCCCUCUGAACUGAUAGUCACAUAAAAACUCAUUCUUCUCUAAUGUAGGAAAUGAAAUAUAGUUCAAUCCGCAUGUAAAAAUCUGCCUGGCUAGCAAUUUUGUUUGACCAACAAAACUAUAAUUUUCUAAAAGUCACUUUAACCCAUAUAUUUAAAAUCAUGUUUUAACUUUUAAAGGUGGUGGUACUGAUACAUUAAGGGUCAUGUCUGCUAGUAUAAAAUAUACAGGGGUUUCCAGGAAAUAAGCUCUCCCUUAUGUAUAAUAAAUUAAUGUAUUUAUAGAUCAUUUUCAGAUGUACAACUGCCUUCACUAUUCUGAGGAAGUAAAAUAUGCAAAACCCAAGAGAUUUAUCUCCUGAGUUUUAGCUUAACUUUUGCGACUGAAACUGGUGAAAGCAGCUGGAAAUAUAUCCAGCUAUUCAUGUAGACUUCCCUCUCUGUUAUCCCUCCACUUAACUGUAUAACCCAGCUCCAAUUCUAAAGUUCUUUCCCAGCUAAAAUUCAUUAAAAGAUAUUAAAGAUACUAAACUGUGUGAAAGGAUUCAUCUGUCUCAACUUAAAAACUAGCAGCUGUAUGACUUGAUGUUUAUAAAACAGAAAUUUAUUUUUUUUUUUAAUUUGGGCAACAUUUCCCCUGGUUUUAUUACAUAAAUAAUCAUUAUCACUUGACUGUAUAAAGUAUCUUUUACCAAAAAAACAGCCCAUUAGAAAAAUGAAUAUGUAUUUUAUAUUUUUAAAUUAAAUGUUUAUACUGGUUUAUGGUAAACCUUCUCAAAAGUUCAGUAAGAUUCUAAUUCAAUGCAACGCAUUCUUUUGAGCAAAAGCAAAUUACACCCAAGAACAUUCUUACAGACAUUAAAAAUAAUUGGCGUCACUAAAAAUUUCAAGUUUGUGUCAAGAGCAAAAUAAAUAUUUAAGUUACGUUUUGUGCAAGUAGUCCUUGCUAAUUUAGUCCUCAGAGAUAUUCAGCCCUGUAUAACUUCAUCUCUCCUUCAUCUUAUAUUUAUUACUGCAAAUGAUUCGUUUUCUGUUACAGGGAAACUCACUGAUGCAUUAAAGGUUUAAUUGAGCUUUUAAAGUAUCAUGAUUGUCACUAUAAAAUCAUGCAUCCACAGUAAGCACGUUUAUAGAGAACUUACAGCUUUAGAUUUCACUUAGAGAAAAAGCCUUAUACUUUCCUGCAGGUUCUGAAUGCAGAUUUACUAUAAAAUAAGUGAAUAAUAAUACCAGGUUAUUUUGGAAAGUGUUCUUUCAUGCAAUCACUGCAUUUAACACAAUCCCAAAAUGGCAGCCCAACAGGUGGUCCUUUCACAGCCUUCAGCCCAAACAAUCGGAACAAAAAGGACACCAAGAAUCGAAUGUUCUUCAGGAUUUAAAAAGCUGUUCACUUCCCUUUGUUCAUUUUCAGAUUUAGCCAUGUUCAUUAUUGUUGAGCCACAAAUGCAGGACAUUCUUUUUUGACAUUUUGCCAUAAAUAGACACUGACUGAGGCUGACUAGCCAGCUAGCUGCUUUGUCACAUGCAAGCGGAAACUACUUCACAAAGCGAAUGCAUUCCUGGUGCCUCAAUGGCCUCGGCAAGCACCAGUUGUGACAUGCUGCAAAUCUGGCAAAGUCUAGGUUAACAAAAGUAUGGGUGACAAAGGCUGAAGUUUCUCUUCCUAUAUUUUCCUCCACACUGGGACCCAAGUCUGUCUUGACGUCUUGCAGUGGAAACCAGGCUAUCCUUUCAGGUUUUGGAUGGCUGCAAAGACUUUAAGCAUUCCUUCAAAGCAUGCACCUUGAAAACAUCAGGGCAGAAAAGAUGCAGCUCAGGUUAACAGCUUUAAUAACUCUUCAGCUGCUUCCGGGUCUAUCUUUCCUCCUCUCCUAAAGCAUGUCUUUAUCAGAACAUUUUCAUCCCUUCUCUAAAUCAUGGUCCUUUCUCAAGUCCCUCCUGACAGGACUA